CGUAACAUGAGAUAGGGAGAUGCAGUCGUUGCAUUUGAGACUCGUCAAGGUCUCUCUUGCGGCCAUGACCACCAAGAAGAGAAAAAGAUCCUCGAAACUGAUCCCACCCACUCCCUCAACGCCCCCAACUCCCCAAACCCAGGCCCGCCACUCUCUCAACACCGCAAAAGCCCGGGCCUGGGCCCCUCUCAACUUGACCCAGGCCGAACUCUCUCUGCCACUCACCUUCCCCACGGGCCAAACCUUCCGCUGGAAAAACACCGCCCCUCUAGAAUACACCGGCGUCGUCGGGUCCCACCUCAUAACCCUCAAACACCUCCAAAACGGCGACGUUUGCUACUGCCUCCACUCCCACUCUCACCCCGAAAAAGCCAAAACCGCCUUGCUAGAUUUCCUUAACGCCGCCGUUUCUCUCGCCGGCUUAUGGAAGGCGUUUUCCGCUUCCGAUGCGAGGUUCGCGGCGCUAGCGCGCCACUUGAGCGGUGCGAGAGUGCUCCGGCAAGAUCCUUUCGAGUGUUUGAUUCAGUUUCUGUGCUCUUCCAAUAACAACAUUGCACGAAUCACGAAGAUGGUUGACCACGUGUCGUCCCUGGGAGAGCACGUGGGAGACGUUGGAGGGUUUCAGUUCCACGUUUUCCCUUCUUUGGAGCAAUUUUCCUCUGUCUCAGAGCAACAACUCAGAGACGCGGGUUUCGGUUACAGGGCUAAAUAUAUAAUUGGAACGGUUAAUGCUUUGCGAUCAAAACCUGGUGGAGGGGAAGAGUGGCUUCGUUCUCUUCGAAAGUUGGAUCUUCCAGAUGUUAUAUCUGCACUUUCUACGUUACCCGGUGUUGGCCCUAAAGUGGCUGCUUGCAUUGCUCUCUUCUCGCUUGAUCAACACCAUGCCGUUCCUGUUGACACUCACGUUUGGCGGAUUGCCACCAAGUAUCUCUUACCUGAGCUUGCAGGUUCGCAGUUGACACCAAAACUCUGUAAUCGUGUUGCAGAGGCAUUUGUUACCAAGUAUGGUACAUAUGCUGGGUGGGCGCAGACUCUAUUGUUCAUAGCCGAAUUACCUUCACAGAAGGCCAUCAUACCUUCACAUUUGUGGACUAUCAAACAACGGAAUCCUGCAAAGGUAGAAGAUGGCGAAGAAGAAGUUGAGUGAGAUCUACAAAUGGUGUGACUCUGAGGACAUAAAUGCACCAGACUUAGGUGUGACAUGCUGCUGUCAAGAAUUCAUUAGGUAUUGUUUUGGAAAGCUGUCUUAGUUGUGGUCAAUCCGAGCCCGGCUCAGUCGUGGUCUCUUUUGAGAGUUGCCUUAAUGGCAACCUCAAGAGUGAUGGUUUACUUUCUCCUCAAAUGAAGAUAUUACUUGAAUAAAGCUUGGAACAUCCUCAACUUUUACAUAUGUCUGUUUGUGGGAUUGAAUUAUGUUACAAAACCAAUUUCCAUGGUUCAUAAAAAUAUUUUGUAUCUUUUACUCUUAUUUUAAAAUAAUUACAUUACUAUGUGUUAUAAUCAUUGAGGGAGGAGCUUCAUUGAAAUCAGUAUCCGGCGUGUUUUGUGACAUCAUUUAGGGAAAUAAGAA